rnacentral:rRNA from 1 species
CCUACGGGCGGCAGCAGUGGGGAAUAUUGGACAAUGGGGGGAACCCUGAUCCAGCGACGCCGCGUGAGUGAAGAAGUAUUUCGGUAUGUAAAGCUCUAUCAGCAGGGAAGAAAAUGACGGUACCUGACUAAGAAGCCCCGGCUAACUCCGUGCCAGCAGCCGCGGUAAUACGUAGGGAGCAAGCGUUGUUCGGAAUGACUGGGCGUAAAGGGUGCGUAGGCGGUUAUACAAGUUAGAAGUGAAAUACCCAGGGCUUAACUCGGGUGCUGCUUCUAAAACUGUAAGACUUGAGUGCAGUAGAGGUUAGCGGAAUUCCUAGUGUAGCGGUGAAAUGCGUAGAUAUUAGGAGGAACACCAGUGGCGAAGGCGGCUUACUGGACUGUAACUGACGUUGAGGCUCGAAAGCGUGGGGAGCAAACAGGAUUAGAUACCCGGGUAGUC